CAGCGUCAAAUGGGGACAAGGGGAAGGAACAGGAGGAGGAAGAAAAAUGGAGCUUUGAAAGCUUGCAGAGAGAGCCUGCAAGAACUGAAGGAGACUCAAGACCUGUUCUUGCUUCUGCAAAGCCACCUGGGUCAGCUCCCUGAAAAGGGCAACUUUCAUCAGCUCUUAUGUCAAGA